AUCAAAUACUGUAUUACUAGCACCAUAAUUGAGUUUAAUCUGGUAUUAUAUUGCUUGUAACUUGCUUGAGUAAUUUGCAUUGCACUGUAUAUGGAAAAUCACUGGAAGCUUAGGUGUUUCUGGCCAACCAUGUAUUCAUCAAUUCCUACUAAUUUGCAAAGUAGUAUGCCCUGAUCGUCUUGCUCUGUGCUAAUUUUUAUGGUUAGAUAUCGGGCAUGUGGUUUGACAAUCAGUUGAAGCUUUUAUUUCUUGGUUUGCAAAAUUUUAAAAUUGGAGGAUUUAAAAUCAGAGACGCUUGGGAGGUACUUGGGAAAAAAAAAAAAGUAGUUUGGGAGGCAAACCCCUGGUUCUAAUGAAGUGUUGCAAUAAAUGAAGGUCCAAGUGGAAGUUGCCCUUGCUUGCCUCAUUGGUUUUAUCUGGAUUCAGCAAGAUGAAGUUUCCACUACGUCAGGCUUAAAAAAUUGGACAUGUACAUGUUCAUUGCCAUAUCAAGGAAAUCAGAGUUAUACUAAAUCUAACUGUUCUACAUCCUGCAAUUGCAACAUAGUUGGAGGACCAAGUGGUGAUAUAUGGACAUGUGCAUGUGCCGCUGAUGGAUUUCCUAAAAUAGCUUCCGGCACUGUUGAUGCUACCUGUUUUACUGCUUGCAACUGCACUUCUGGUGCAUUGUAUUAGGUGGCUUUCCAUCGUAAAAGAGUGUGGAUUGAUUUCUUGGUUGAGUCAUUUGCUUUUCCAAGAGUAAUGGUCUGAUAUCGUGCUGUCACUCUCA
rnacentral:misc_RNA from 1 species